rnacentral:rRNA from 1 species
UACGUAGGGUGCAAGCGUUAUCCGGAAUUAUUGGGCGUAAAGAGCGUGUAGGCGGCUUGGUAGGUCCGCUGUGAAAACUCGAGGCUCAACCUCGAGAUGUCGGCGGAAACCACUUGGCUAGAGUCCGGAAGAGGAGAGUGGAAUUCCCGGUGUAGCGGUGAAAUGCGCAGAUAUCGGGAGGAACACCAGUAGCGAAGGCGACACUCUGGGCCGGUACUGACGCUGAGGAGCGAAGGCGUGGGGAGCAAACAGG